rnacentral:rRNA from 1 species
AGAGUUUGAUCCUGGCUCAGAGUGAACGCUGGCGGCGUGCCUAACACAUGCAAGUCGAACGAGAACGGACUUAAGUUUACUUAAGUUGUCAGCUAAGUGGCGCACGGGUGAGUAAUAUAUAGUUAACCUGCCUCAAAGAAGAGAAUAAUUGUUGGAAACGACUUGUAAUGCUCUAUAUGCCUUUAUCACAUAAGUGAGCAAGGGAAAUAUUUAUAGCUUUGAGAUGGGACUGUACGGUAUCAGAUAGUUGGUGAGGUAAUGGCUCACCAAGUCUAUGACGCCUAACUGGUUUGAGAGGAUGAUCAGUCACACUGGAACUGAGACACGGUCCAGACUCCUACGGGAGGCAGCAGUGGGGAAUAUUGCACAAUGGAGGAAACUCUGAUGCAGCAACGCCGCGUGGAGGAUGACACAUUUCGGUGCGUAAACUCCUUUUAUUAGGGAAGAUAAUGACGGUACCUAAUGAAUAAGCACCGGCUAACUCCGUGCCAGCAGCCGCGGUAAUACGGGGGGUGCAAGCGUUACUCGGAAUCACUGGGCGUAAAGAGCAUGUAGGCUGAUUAGUAAGUUGGAAGUGAAAUCCUAUGGCUCAACCAUAGAACUGCUUCCAAAACUGCUUAUCUAGAGUAUGGGAGAGGUAGAUGGAAUUUCUGGUGUAGGGGUAAAAUCCGUAGAGAUCAGAAGGAAUACCGAUUGCGAAGGCGAUCUACUGGAACAUUACUGACGCUGAGAUGCGAAAGCGUGGGGAGCAAACAGGAUUAGAUACCCUGUAGUCCACGCCCUAAACGAUGCACACUAGUUGUUGCUAUGCUAGACAUAGCAGUAAUGCAGUUAACACAGUAAGUGUGCCGCCUGGGGAGUACGGUCGCAAGAUUAAAACUCAAAGGAUAGACGGGGACU